AAUGAUCAGCCCCCUGGGCUGAGACCCGGCCCAGACUCCUACGGAGGCAGCAGUGGGAAUAUUGGACAAUGGGCGAAAGCCUGAUCCAGCAAUCCCGAGUGAGUGAUGAAGGCCUUAGGGUGUAAAGCUCUUUUAGCAAGGAAGAUAAUGACGUUACUUGCAGAAAAAGCCCCGGCUAACUCCGUGCCAGCAGCCGCGGUAAGACGGAGGGGGCUAGCGUUGUUCGGAAUUACUGGGCGUAAAGAGUGCGUAGGCGGUUUAGUAAGUUGGAAGUGAAAGCCCGGGGCUUAACCUCGGAAUUGCUUUCAAAACUACUAAUCUAGAGUGUAGUAGGGGAUGAUGGAAUUCCUAGUGUAGAGGUGAAAUUCUUAGAUAUUAGGAGGAACACCGGUGGCGAAGGCGGUCAUCUGGGCUACAACUGACGCUAAUGCACGAAAGCGUGGGGAGCAAACAGGAUUAGAUACCCUGGUAGUCCACGCCGUAAACGAUGAGUGCUAGAUGUCGGAAGAUUCUCUUUCGGUUUCGCAGCUAACGCAUUAAGCACUCCGCCUGGAGAGUACGGUCGCAAGAUUAAAACUCAAAGGAAUUGACGGGGGCUCGCACAAGCGGUGGAGCAUGCGGUUUAAUUCGAUGUUACGCGAAAAACCUUACCAACCCUUGACAUGGUGGUCGCGGAUCGCAGAGAUGCUUUCCUUCAGCUCGGCUGGGACCGCACACAGGUGUUGCACGGCUGUCGUCAGCUCGUGUCGUGAGAUGUUGGGUUAAGUCCCGCAACGAGCGCAACCCUCAUUCUUAUUUGCCAGCGGGUAAUGCCGGGAACUAUAAGAAAACUGCUGGUGAUAAGCCAGAGGAAGGUGGGGACGACGUCAAGUCAUCAUGGCCCUUACGGGUUGGGCUACACGCGUGCUACAAUGGUGUUUACAGAGGGAAGCAAGACGGCGACGUGGAGCAAAUCCCUAAAAGACAUCUCAGUUCGGAUUGUUCUCUGCAACUCGAGAGCAUGAAGUUGGAAUCGCUAGUAAUCGCGGAUCAGCAUGCCGCGGUGAAUACGUUCUCGGGCCUUGUACACACUGCCCGUCACGCCAUGGGAGUUGGUUUUACCUGAAGGUGGUGAGCUAAAGCAAGAGGCACCCAAUCACGGUGAAAUAGUGGUGGUGUCUGCUCAGCAAACGCUCAAUUACAAAAAAAGA
rnacentral:rRNA from 1 species